rnacentral:lncRNA from 1 species
CCAAGUACCUAUGCCCACAGUUGCCCCCUCAUGUGCCCCUACAUCAAAGGCUAUUGCACUGGCAGCUAAAAGAUAUAUGUGGAACUAGCCAAGGGGUGGAAGGUAAACAAUAUUGAGUAAGAGUGUUGUUCGAAAUCCAAGGCGCAUAUCGAUCUACUGAGAAUCAAACAAUCACACAAUCAUGAAGACGCCAAGAUUUGUUAACAUGGUACGCCUAACAUCGGCUACAUCCCUAGGGCAUGACUACAAGCGCUCCUCCCCAUUGAAUGAUACCGCUACAAAUCUACAAUACCGCACACCGGUUGCCCAAGCACCAACACAUGCUGCCGACUCCCUCGCGUACUUGUUCUAUUAUGUUGGCAUAGGUUACAUUGUGUGCCUACCCUCACAUUAUAAAGGAGCCUAGGAUACAGGUGUCCAACUCGAACAUGACUCCAUACCCCUAUUGUUAGAAUAAAUCCGAGGCUCUCCGCCGAUCUACCGAGGACCAAGCAAUCACACAAGCACGACACCGAGAUCUGUUAACGGGGUUCACCGAUAUGGCUACAUCCCCGGGGCAUGACUACGGGCGCUCCUCCCCGUGACACCGUCACAAUACCGCACCCUGGCCGCCCGGGCGCCAGCACACGCCGUCGGCUCCCCCCAUGUGCGUGUGCUAUUAUGUUGGCAUAGGUUACAUCGUGUGUCUACCCUCUCAUUAUAUAAGAGGCAUAAGGGUACAGGUGUCCUAAUAGGACACGACGCCUACCUUGUCUACACACCGUACGACUCCAAGUCCAACUGUAACCUACCUUGUACAAUAAUAUUCGACACAACUCUAACAAAUUCCACCUUGGCGAAUAUUCUCCACCGCCUUGGAUUCGUCCAUGCGUCAAACCUCCAUGUACAUUGGACUUGAGAUAAGCCAUGAGCACCACUGCUACUCCCAGACUCCAUGUGACUCCACCUGCAACUGUAGUCCCUUCUCGUCUUCUUCACAGUCAACCCUCAAGCAAAGUUAAGUUCCUUAUUACCCUACUUUGUGCUUCCAACUUCCGGAGUAUCCGUUCAACGCCAUCACACACUGAUCACUGACCUGCGUGAAAGUGAACAACCCACAUAUUGAAUGCCACAUAUAAGACUUACCUGAACUCAACAUCCUCGCUCUUUCUUGACCGUCCGUAUGAAACUUGAAGGAAUUUCACCAUCGCCUUGUGUCACCCCAAGUCAAAUUCGCAGUUGUCUCAUCCUUUUCUCGAAUAGUCUCUGACAUGUCCCACAGCUAUAGCACUCCGCCUCCUUCUGUACUUGUCAUCCGCACUUUGCCAUGUGCAGUGAACCCCACAGAAUAUACGGUCAUGUACUCUCUCCGCUUAUGACAAUUCAGACUUUCCGUCACUUUCUCAGAUUCUCCAUGGUCAACUCCCGUCCAUCAAACCGGCACCGAUAGACCCAGUCACCAACUUGAAUCCGAUACUCGCCAACACUGCUUCAGCACCCUUUUCACAAUUUGUCUGACCACAUGUCUGACCACCAGUGCUUGGUCUGUCGCUAUGUCCCGUGCUUACCGCACGCCUCGCCGCUAUCACCGCGUCAAGCAUGUGCUACCCUGGUCGAGUUUCCCAAGGUCGCGAACCCACACCACUCAACCCCCACUGCAGAGAACCACCGAUCAUCACCGACCGGUGCCGAGUAUCACGUCUCCAUUAGACCACUGGUACCCAGUCCGAUCCACGUGUCUCUCGCUAUCCGCUGAAAUAGGCUUCGACUCUCCAUGCAUUUACGCCGUAGCCCCUCCAUCAGCACAGAGUGAAAUCUUCCGCUAGACUCCAGCUCCACCUUCAACAUGACUCCAUGUAGCUGGCCCUGCUACCCCGCGCCCUGUUGACUUCAAGCUCUCAUGUGUGCACUGCCUUUCAUUAACCCUACGCCAUAGUCUGUUGAAGCCGCACAAGCCCUCGGGCCUGCACCACGUGUUUCCACGCCCUAGAAGUUGGCCACCAUCAGCAUCACGCUCCUAUGUCGUCGUCGCUGAAAUCACCACCGUCUUCUGCUUUGACCGACAUCCUCGUCGAUCCGUCAGACAGUCCCGUCUGACCCAGCCGAAAUUAUCUAACUGCAACCAUGCUCCACCCUUCGUCGUUUCCGCCCCGCAUACCUCCGUGCAUUGCUUGACGCCCUGUGUAUGCAUGAUCCUGACACAGCAUGCUCCAGACUCCACUUGAGCCUUGUACGCACGACGUCGCUGCACACGUCCAUCUUCAUCAACUUGCAUCAUGUCAAUCUUUCAUGGACUUGCAACCGCGCCUUUGUUUCUCGUAACGUGCGCCGCAGCCAUCCUGUACAUACAUGUACGUGUACCAAGCAAAGAGAGCCAACCCAAGAAUUUCUCUAGGAGCAUUCCUGUGAACAACAUCAAGUUCGUUUAUCUUACUCACGUGCAGCCCCAAACCUUUUCCAUCCUGCUCUUUUCCUUGAUCCCCAUGGAUAGCUACACAUACGGUGCCUGACGCCCUUUUUCCUUUAACAAAUCUCACGCCGUCAAGCUGUCCUGCACGCUUCGCCGAGCCAACUCAUACAACUCCUGUCAAAGCCUUUCCACUCCGGCCGUAAGUUCCUGAUGGACCACGCCCUGCUUGAGCCACGUGCUACCCUUGGGAUCCCCGUGUACCUUGAGCCAUGCUAGUGCUGCACCUCGGCCAUGAGAAAUCCUCACGCCCUUGCUACUCCGUACACGUAGACCUGUUGGGCAGCCACGCCUUGACCCAGCCGCCCACCUGGUACUACCUGCUCCGUCCGGCUCGGCCACAGCACGCGCGAGCGCUCCACUAGGCCUCAGCCGAUGCUGCUGUCCGGCCACAUGCCGAGCUAAGGUGUUGCAUCGCUCGCCUAAUUGAUCGCGCUGUUGUCGUAUGCUAGGUCACCAGCUUGCCACGCACCCUGCUGCCUGAUGCUUGUCCCGGUCUCAUCAAUUGCUCCUGAUCCGAUCUCCUCGUCGCUCCCGUCGAAUACCGCACGAAAAAUCUUCCAAUCGAUCAGCUUCGAUACGAUUAUUCUGCACAUUGAUUUCAACGCGACUUCCCAAGAUCCAUCCUCUAGAUCAACAUCACGACCUCUUCCAACCUUGCUCAUGAUACCACUUGUUAGAAUAAAUCCGAGGCUCUCCGCCGAUCUACCGAGGACCAAGCAAUCACACAAGCACGACACCGAGAUUUGUUAACGAGGUUCACCGAUAUGGCUACAUCCCCGGGGCAUGAUUACGGGCGCUCCUCCCCGUGACACCGUCACAAUACCGCACCCUGGCCACCCGGGCGCCAGCACACGCCGUCGGCUCCCCCCAUGUGUCUGUGCUAUUAUGUUGGCAUAGGUUACAUCGUGUGUCUACCCUCUCAUUAUAUAAGAGGCAUAAGGGUACAGGUGUCCUAAUAGGACACGACUCCUACCUUGUCUACACACCGUACGACUACAAGUCCAACUGUAACCUACCUUGUACAAUAAUAUUCGACACAACUCUAACACCUAUCCACACACCAUAUGACUCAAAAGUUAAGCUGUAUCGUAACUCGCACAAAACAUUUAACACG